rnacentral:rRNA from 1 species
UACGUAGGGUGCGAGCGUUAAUCGGAAUUACUGGGCGUAAAGUGUGCGCAGGCGGCCGAGCAAGUCGAGUGUGAAAGCCCCGGGCUUAACUUGGGAACUGCGCUCGAAACUACUUGGCUGGAGUGUGGCAGAGGAAGGUGGAAUUCCACGUGUAGCGGUGAAAUGCGUAGAGAUGUGGAGGAACACCAAUGGCGAAGGCAGCUCGCUGGGACGGUACUGACGCUGAGGCGCGAAAGCGUGGGGAGCAAACAGG